UGGGGAAUUUUGGACAAUGGGCGAAAGCCUGAUCCAGCAAUGCCGCGUGUGUGAAGAAGGCCUUCGGGUUGUAAAGCACUUUUGUCCGGAAAGAAAUCCUUGGCUCUAAUACAGUCGGGGGAUGACGUACCGGAAGAAUAAGCACCGGCUAACUACGUGCCAGCAGCCGCGGUAAUACGUAGGGUGCAAGCGUUAAUCGGAAUUACUGGGCGUAAAGCGUGCGUAGGCGGUUUGCUAAGACCGAUGUGAAAUCCCCGGGCUCAACCUGGGAACUGCAUUGGUGACUGGCAGGCUAGAGUAUGGCAGAGGGGGGUAGAAUUCCACGUGUAGCAGUGAAAUGCGUAGAGAUGUGGAGGAAUACCGAUGGCGAAGGCAGCCCCCUGGGCCAAUACUGACGCUCAUGCACGAAAGCGUGGGGAGCAAACAGGAUUAGAUACCCUGGUAGUCCACGCCCUAAACGAUGUCAACUAGUUGUUGGGGAUUCAUUUCCUUAGUAACGUAGCUAACGCGUGAAGUUGACCGCCUGGGGAGUACGGUCGCAAGAUUAAAACUCAAAUGAAUUGAC
rnacentral:rRNA from 1 species